GGAACUGCUCCCACUGGGGGGAAAAAUAGUUUUGAAACAGUCAUCCAACUCAGAAUUCCAAAUCAGAAUCUCUGGCAUCUUUCUAGAACUCGUAACUUUCUGACCUGAAGAUCACUGACGUCGUGGUUUGACCUCGUUUUCCCCCGAGUUCCCAGUUGUCUUGAAAGCAGUGUUAUUCCCUUUUUAUAGUCCACUACUGUUGACCAGGGACCACUACUGUUGACCAGGGACCACUACUGUUGACCAGGGACCACUACUGUUGACCAGGGGCCACUACUGUUGACCAGGGGCCACUACUGUUGACCAGGGACCACUACUGUUGACCAGGGGCCACUACUGUUGACCAGGGGCCACUACUGUUGACCAGGGGCCACUACUGUUGACCAGGGACCACUACUGUUGACCAGGGACCACUACUGUUGACCAGGGACCACUACUGUUGACCAGGGACCAUCGUGCUCUGGUUAAAAGUAGUGUACUGCGUAGAUUGUCUAUAUCCCUCAAACUCAACUCUGGACCAAGAAACCAGUUUCACUGCAUUUUUCCCCCAUUGUUCCCCUGUAUUCAGGGACUGAUUUAGACUUUAGACAUCAGGUGGGUGAUUCCCCUCUAAUCAGGGACUGAUUUAGACUUUAGACAUCAGGUGGGUGAUUCCCCUCUAAUCAGGGACUGAUUUAGACAUCAGGUGGGUGAUUCCCCUCUAAUCAGGGACUGAUUUAGACUUUAGACAUCAGGUGGGUGAUUCCCCUCUAAUCAGGGACUGAUUUAGACUUUAGACACCAGGUGGGUGAUUCCCCUCUAAUCAGGGACUGAUUUAGACUUUAGACACCAGGUGGGUGAUUCCCCUCUAAUCAGGGACUGAUUUAGACUUUAGACAUCAGGUGGGUGAUUCCCCUCUAAUCAGGGACUGAUUUAGACUUUAGACACCAGGUGGGUGAUUCCCCUCUAAUCAGGGACUGAUUUAUACACCAGGUGGGUGAUUCCCCUCUAAUCAGGGACUGAUUUAGACAUCAGGUGGGUGAUUCCCCUCUAAUCAGGGACUGAUUUAGACACUAGGUGGGUGAUUCCCCUCUAAUCAGGGACUGAUUUAGACUAGACAUCAGGUGGGUGAUUCCCCUCUAAUCAGGGACUGAUUUAGACUUUAGACACCAGGUGGGUGAUUCCCCUCUAAUCAGGGACUGAUUUAGACUUUAGACAUCAGGUGGGUGAUUCCCCUCUAAUCAGGGACUGAUUUAGACACCAGGUGGGUGAUUCCCCUCUAAUCAGGGACUGAUUUAUACACCAGGUGGGUGAUUCCCCUCUAAUCAGGGACUGAUUUAGACAUCAGGUGGGUGAUUCCCCUCUAAUCAGGGACUGAUUUAGACACUAGGUGGGUGAUUCCCCUCUAAUCAGGGACUGAUUUAGACUAGACAUCAGGUGGGUGAUUCCCCUCUAAUCAGGGACUGAUUUAGACUUUAGACACCAGGUGGGUGAUUCCCCUCUAAUCAGGGACUGAUUUAGACUUUAGACAUCAGGUGGGUGAUUCCCCUCUAAUCAGGGACUGAUUUAGACACCAGGUGGGUGAUUCCCCUCUAAUCAGGGACUGAUUUAGACUUUAGACACCAGGUGGGUGAUUCCCCUCUAAUCAGGGACUGAUUUAGACUUUAGACACCAGGUGGGUGAUUCUCCUCUAAUCAGGGACUGAUUUAGACACCAGGUGGGUGAUUCCCCUCUAAUCAGGGACUGAUUUAGACACCAGGUGGGUGAUUCUCCUCUAUUCAGGGACUGAUUUAGACCCUGGACACCAGGUAAGUAUCCGGUAGAACAGAAAACCAGCAGGCUCGUAGGAUAAGAGUUGAAUACCGCUGGUCUAUAUGGUUUAAAUACAUUUGAGUAAAAUAAGUUGAACGUUUUAAUGUUUUAUCUCUUGCCAUGAAAGACACUCGAGUCCUCUGGUUUGAAGUACUAACCCAAUAAGGAGUUUAUAACUCUUAAGGGCUGGUUUCCCAGACACAGCGAUUGUAGCAUUUACACAGGCAGCCCAAUUCUGAUGUUAUUUAUUAUUUUUUUACACUAAUUGGUCUUUUGACCAAUCAGAUCAGCUCUGAAAAAGAUCUGAUGUGAUUGGUCAAAAUAAAAAUGUGUGUGUAAAAAAAAUAAAAAAUAAACCUACAGUAUUGGACUGCCUGUGUAAAUGAAGCUUUAGCGAGCCAUAUGAGAUGCUCUGUUGACAACGAAUCUUAGUCCAAGGCAAGUGUGUAGGUUCUAAUUCUCAGAGUAAAAAAAAGAAACACUAUGGACAUUUCUGAAAGCUUAACCAAGUUUCAUUCUUCCCAGAGUGUCAAUACAGCUGCAUUCAGACAAAAACAUG